CAGAAUGGCAAAGCGAAUGUUCGGAUGACUCAGGAUGAGCUGCCGAGCAGACGCAAGUCUUACAAGUCCUCCUCCGACAAUGACAACAUCAUAGAUCCCAUGGACCAUGUAUUGCACCUUCUCAGAAUGUCCACAUGAAGUCUCCAGAUGUUUUCCCCUGUAAUUUAGUUCCAGUGUCCUGAGAACAUGAGUGAUAGAGUGAUUCCUACUAUUAUGUAGGCCAAUGACCAAAGUCAGACUGCAGAGACACGUUGAUCUAGUAUAUCUAAGCAUCCGGUGAUUCAGGACAACGCAUUCUAAUGCCUUACAUCCCUAGAAACUCGCAUGUUUAGGAAAUGCUACUCACCAUCAAUCCCCAUAAUAUUCCACCCUCCAUGCCAAUCAAGUCUGGGAACAACUUUCAACCACACUACCAUGUCUCGAAAAUGGCACAAGUCAGACUUAAUGAGACAUAAGAGCUCGCCCACCUUCACCCGGUCCAAGUCAUUCACACCUACAUAAACCACUAAGAAAAUCGAUGACAAUCUUCCAUUCAGAUGUUUACAAUCUCUGUGAGCAGCUGAAUCCAUGGCAAACUACCAGUGCUCCACCAGUCGCCUGAUGAUGCCCUAUGAACAAAGAAAUGUCCCAAGAUCCACACUUGAGGAGCUCGUGCAUCUGAAAAAAAGAGAUAAAGAAAGCAACAACGUUUGACACAAAUAUGAGCAUUACAUCCAAUUUCCAUCUAACCAACAACUUUAUAUCCACUUCUCCAUGCCUAAUGCAUUCACCUGGCAGCAUCUAUUUUAAACAAAUGUGUACCAAACUCCUGCUGACUCAGUCCUAAAAAAUAUAAUGCUAAUUUAAAAAAAAUAAAGAAGUAAA